rnacentral:misc_RNA from 1 species
CACGCAGCCCGACUUGAGUGGAGCUCUUUUUAUUUUUCAAAAAAUAAAAAAGCGGGAACGGAAGGCGGAAAAGCUG